GAUGAACGCUAGCUACAGGCUUAACACAUGCAAGUCGAGGGGCAGCGGUAUCGAAAGCUUGCUUUCGGUAGCCGGCGACCGGCGCACGGGUGAGUAACGCGUAUCGAACCUGCCUCAUACUCGGGAAUAGCCUUGCGAAAGUAAGAUUAAUGCCCGGUGUUUUCAGAGUCCCGCAUGAGGCUUUGAACAAAGAUUUAUCGGUAUGAGAUGGCGAUGCGUCCCAUUAGCUUGUUGGCGGGGUAACGGCCCACCAAGGCAUCGAUGGGUAGGGGUUCUGAGAGGAAGGUCCCCACAUUGGAACUGAGACACGGUCCAAACUCCUACGGGAGGCAGCAGUGAGGAAUAUUGGUCAAUGGGCGGAAGCCUGAACCAGCCAAGUAGCGUGCAGGAAGACGGCCCUCCGGGUUGUAAACUGCUUUUAGUUGGGAAUAAAACGGGGCUCGUGAGCCCCCUUGCAUGUACCAUCAGAAAAAGGACCGGCUAAUUCCGUG
rnacentral:rRNA from 1 species